AGCGUACACGGUGGAUGCCCUGGCAGUCAGAGGCGAUGAAGGACGUGCUAAUCUGCGAUAAGCGUCGGUAAGGUGAUAUGAACCGUUAUAACCGGCGAUUUCCGAAUGGGGAAACCCAGUGUGUUUCGACACACUAUCAUUAACUGAAUCCAUAGGUUAAUGAGGCGAACCGGGGGAACUGAAACAUCUAAGUACCCCGAGGAAAAGAAAUCAACCGAGAUUCCCCCAGUAGCGGCGAGCGAACGGGGAGCAGCCCAGAGCCUGAAUCAGUGUGUGUGUUAGUGGAAGCGUCUGGAAAGGCGCGCGAUACAGGGUGACAGCCCCGUACACAAAAAUGCACAUGCUGUGAGCUCGAUGAGUAGGGCGGGACACGUGGUAUCCUGUCUGAAUAUGGGGGGACCAUCCUCCAAGGCUAAAUACUCCUGACUGACCGAUAGUGAACCAGUACCGUGAGGGAAAGGCGAAAAGAACCCCGGCGAGGGGAGUGAAAAAGAACCUGAAACCGUGUACGUACAAGCAGUGGGAGCCUCUUUUAUGGGGUGACUGCGUACCUUUUGUAUAAUGGGUCAGCGACUUAUAUUCUGUAGCAAGGUUAACCGAAUAGGGGAGCCGAAGGGAAACCGAGUCUUAACUGGGCGUUAAGUUGCAGGGUAUAGACCCGAAACCCGGUGAUCUAGCCAUGGGCAGGUUGAAGGUUGGGUAACACUAACUGGAGGACCGAACCGACUAAUGUUGAAAAAUUAGCGGAUGACUUGUGGCUGGGGGUGAAAGGCCAAUCAAACCGGGAGAUAGCUGGUUCUCCCCGAAAGCUAUUUAGGUAGCGCCUCGUGAAUUCAUCUCCGGGGGUAGAGCACUGUUUCGGCAAGGGGGUCAUCCCGACUUACCAACCCGAUGCAAACUGCGAAUACCGGAGAAUGUUAUCACGGGAGACACACGGCGGGUGCUAACGUCCGUCGUGAAGAGGGAAACAACCCAGACCGCCAGCUAAGGUCCCAAAGUCAUGGUUAAGUGGGAAACGAUGUGGGAAGGCCCAGACAGCCAGGAUGUUGGCUUAGAAGCAGCCAUCAUUUAAAGAAAGCGUAAUAGCUCACUGGUCGAGUCGGCCUGCGCGGAAGAUGUAACGGGGCUAAACCAUGCACCGAAGCUGCGGCAGCGACACUAUGUGUUGUUGGGUAGGGGAGCGUUCUGUAAGCCUGCGAAGGUGUGCUGUGAGGCAUGCUGGAGGUAUCAGAAGUGCGAAUGCUGACAUAAGUAACGAUAAAGCGGGUGAAAAGCCCGCUCGCCGGAAGACCAAGGGUUCCUGUCCAACGUUAAUCGGGGCAGGGUGAGUCGACCCCUAAGGCGAGGCCGAAAGGCGUAGUCGAUGGGAAACAGGUUAAUAUUCCUGUACUUGGUGUUACUGCGAAGGGGGGACGGAGAAGGCUAUGUUGGCCGGGCGACGGUUGUCCCGGUUUAAGCGUGUAGGCUGGUUUUCCAGGCAAAUCCGGAAAAUCAAGGCUGAGGCGUGAUGACGAGGCACUACGGUGCUGAAGCAACAAAUGCCCUGCUUCCAGGAAAAGCCUCUAAGCAUCAGGUAACAUCAAAUCGUACCCCAAACCGACACAGGUGGUCAGGUAGAGAAUACCAAGGCGCUUGAGAGAACUCGGGUGAAGGAACUAGGCAAAAUGGUGCCGUAACUUCGGGAGAAGGCACGCUGAUAUGUAGGUGAAGUCCCUCGCGGAUGGAGCUGAAAUCAGUCGAAGAUACCAGCUGGCUGCAACUGUUUAUUAAAAACACAGCACUGUGCAAACACGAAAGUGGACGUAUACGGUGUGACGCCUGCCCGGUGCCGGAAGGUUAAUUGAUGGGGUCAGCGCAAGCGAAGCUCUUGAUCGAAGCCCCGGUAAACGGCGGCCGUAACUAUAACGGUCCUAAGGUAGCGAAAUUCCUUGUCGGGUAAGUUCCGACCUGCACGAAUGGCGUAAUGAUGGCCAGGCUGUCUCCACCCGAGACUCAGUGAAAUUGAACUCGCUGUGAAGAUGCAGUGUACCCGCGGCAAGACGGAAAGACCCCGUGAACCUUUACUAUAGCUUGACACUGAACAUUGAGCCUUGAUGUGUAGGAUAGGUGGGAGGCUUUGAAGUGUGGACGCCAGUCUGCAUGGAGCCGACCUUGAAAUACCACCCUUUAAUGUUUGAUGUUCUAACGUUGACCCGUGAUCCGGGUUGCGGACAGUGUCUGGUGGGUAGUUUGACUGGGGCGGUCUCCUCCUAAAGAGUAACGGAGGAGCACGAAGGUUGGCUAAUCCUGGUCGGACAUCAGGAGGUUAGUGCAAUGGCAUAAGCCAGCUUGACUGCGAGCGUGACGGCGCGAGCAGGUGCGAAAGCAGGUCAUAGUGAUCCGGUGGUUCUGAAUGGAAGGGCCAUCGCUCAACGGAUAAAAGGUACUCCGGGGAUAACAGGCUGAUACCGCCCAAGAGUUCAUAUCGACGGCGGUGUUUGGCACCUCGAUGUCGGCUCAUCACAUCCUGGGGCUGAAGUAGGUCCCAAGGGUAUGGCUGUUCGCCAUUUAAAGUGGUACGCGAGCUGGGUUUAGAACGUCGUGAGACAGUUCGGUCCCUAUCUGCCGUGGGCGCUGGAGAACUGAGGGGGGCUGCUCCUAGUACGAGAGGACCGGAGUGGACGCAUCACUGGUGUUCGGGUUGUCAUGCCAAUGGCACUGCCCGGUAGCUAAAUGCGGAAGAGAUAAGUGCUGAAAGCAUCUAAGCACGAAACUUGCCCCGAGAUGAGUUCUCCCUGACUCCUUGA
rnacentral:rRNA from 1 species